AAAAGGGAGUUAGCACCAAGUUGUUCAUCCCCUUUUGCAAUUGUCUUCUCUUAUUCUCUUUUCUCUUUACCUGCUUGCUUACAGUUCAUAUUACGUUGCAGCGUGAUAGUUUUCAUCCAUCUCCUCAUGAAUCAAUCGGGUGUUGUCUGUUUGGGAGUUGCGGCUAUCCCUCCUAACAAAUGAUUUUCUUAGAGUUCGACCUUACGACCUUACCCUUCAGCUUGUCUAUCAGACCAUCACUAAACCAAUAUUGCUGCAUAUUCACAAAUCCAGGCCAAAUUAGAUAUCUUCAUUCUGUCGACUCUUGGCUCUGGGCUUUCAACACGUAGCUGCUAAGUGUCAAAUGAUUAGAAACUAUCUUUUCCUUUGUCCUGUUUAUUGAUUGAUUGAUUAGCAUCAGUUCACACCUGGAGAAGUCAGGCAAGAGAUAACCUGGCGAACUGAAACAUCUUAGUAGCCAGAGGAAAAGAAAGCAUUUAUACGACAUGCUGCUUUUUCCAUUUAUUCCUUUCUGGAUCAGUCGUGGUCUUACAAACUCUACUGAUGGUAUGGAUGAACCAAAUUCUUAUUAUCAAUACACAAAUGUAUAACUCCCCGGGAAUUUCAAUUGCGCUUAUAUUCAUCACUGUAGGUUCAAAUCCCGUCUCCGCAACAUUUUUCUCAAAUCCAUUUUCAUUGACCAAUUAGAAUUGCCUCCCAAGAUCUAUAAUUGUCGGGAGAAGGGGUGCCUCCUCACAAAGGGGGUACGGUUCUGUAGAGUGGCGGUAAGCAUUACUUAUCUGUCAACUUUUCCGAAUCUAUUAUAACUAUCAAAAAAUUCCUAGUAUUAAAAAAAAGAUCUGCUAUUGGAAAAAGAAAAAAAAACCUACGCUUGCUGAAGGUAAGAAAUAUUAUUUAUAUUUUUUAGAAAUUCUACGAACCUUUUGUCUCCGGCUAUUGCGUCCUUACCCAUGAUAAACGAAAA